rnacentral:rRNA from 1 species
GACGUAGGAUGCGAGCGUUGUUCGGAGUUACUGGGCGUAAAGGGUGCGUAGGCGGCUUGAUAAGUGGGCGGUGAAAGCCUGGAGCUCAACUCCAGAGACGCCGCCCAGACUGUCGAGCUCGGAGGACGGCAGAGGGGUGUGGAAUUCCCAGUGUAGCGGUGAAAUGCGUAGAUAUUGGGAGGAACACCAGUGGCGAAAGCGACACCCUGGGUUAGUCCUGACGCUGAGGCACGAAAGCGUGGGGAGCAAACGGG